rnacentral:lncRNA from 1 species
AUCUCUCCCCCGCACUCGCACGUCCCACCUCCUCCCCCUCUCUCGAUCUCCUUUGCGAACCCUAGCCCCACGCUCGCACGCUCCCUGUCGCGCCGCCGCCUCCGCCUCUGCUCGCCGUCGGGCCGUUUCCUUCUUCCCCGAGGGCGGCGAGCCGGAGCUGCCCCUGCGCGUUGUCGACCACCUCCUCGCUGGCUGGACGCCGUCGACUACGAAGCCGGUCUUCUCUAAGUGCGUGCCGCCGUAUGGGUCGCCGAGACGCCGAGGCCGAGGUGGAGCUCCAGACCAUCGAGGCCAUGUACGCCGCUGAGUCCACCAGGCACCGCCACCUCCCCGACUGGUCCAAGACACCAGCCCCCGCCCCCGUUCGCCCACGGCCCAACCCAGUCCCCGCGGCUGCGUGUGCCUCCUCGCCGUCGUGGGUCCUCUCGCCCCCCACUUGCCAAGGUGCGGCUCCCCCUCUUUUGCCUCUCAUGUUCUACUCCAAAAUGCUUCUUUUGUCUAUCUUGAAGCUUCAGUUAUGCUGCCAAAUUUAGUCUAUCUUGAAGCUUGGGAACAUUCAAAUUUAGUCUAACUUUUGAGUAGCAAGUUCCCUGAUUUUUUUUUUGAAGCUUCAGUUUUGCAUCUCAAGUCUGAUCGAAAUGCACAAGACAUUCAAAUCACUGAAUGAAUGCCUAAAAAGAGGAAAAAGGCAGCAAGGAGGGAGAGGAUAUUUUUGUAUCUCAGGUCUGAAUGAGAUGCACAUUAUAAUGUCAAUAUGUCAUCAGAUUAAUUGGUUUCUUGGGGGUCCUAAUGAGUUUUAUGAGAAAAACUAGCUUAAAUGGCAGCAAGUUUUGAAUACAGUGUAUGUUCUAUAGCUUCUUUAACAAGAUCACCGAAUACAGUUUUUUGGGGUCCUUGUAUUGUUUAUCAUGUUUAUCACUGCAAGUUCAUGAUCCAAUAGUUAAGAGUAAGUCUAAGAUCAUUUGGUCACAGAAAUUUGAUCUUGACUGAACAUCAACUUGACAGAUCAAAACCUGGCAGAAAUUGACAGGUUCUGAACAUCAACUUGACUGAACAAAGAUCUUGAUUGAAAGAACUUGUGCUUGGUCCUAUGCAUCUACAGUUUUGUUAAUAGAUCUUUUUUGUAUCUUUCAUUCUGUCUUGAUCUUGACUGAGUAAAUUUUCAGUGUGAGUACCAGCUACUCACCCAUGUUCUUCUCUAUAAUCAAGUGUUCCCGGGGAAGCCUAGUAAUGGCCAAUUCAUCUCAAAAUAAUGCAAACCCUUGCAAACUGCUCAGGUAGCUAUUGCUCCUAAUCAAAUGACAAUUUAUCCUUUGAACUUGUUCACAAAUGCAACUCUGGUCGCUGGCUUCUACAUAUGGACCAUGUGGAGUACUCUGUAUAUUCAAUAUAGUGAUUUUCUUUUGCUUAUUUGAUUUUUGGAUUAAUUUGUAUAUUCAACAUAUAUUGUGGAAAUCUUGAAUUUUAUUGAAACCUCUAUACUUGCUUGAACUGAUGUUCAGGAAGUAGUUGAGCACACCUAUGUCAUCGGUUGUAAAUAGCUGGACUAAAGGAUCUAUGCACAUAUCUGCACCCCAAGUGCAGGUUUAUUGCUGGAGUGUGGAAUAGUUUGAGCACGACAGUCAAGGUAAAAUGACAAAACUGCAUGUUACACAAAUCUUCUAUGAUUACACAAAACUGCAUGUACACACCAACCCUGCUGUGCCUAUUCUUUACAAGUGCUAAUUAACAGUAACCGAAUAAACUAACAGUAACAGAUUCGGUACUGGUUGUCAAAAUGUGUUGCCGUGUCGUCAUUGUCAGAACUGAAAUGAAAUGUGCUCGAACUGGUCAAGCACAUGAUUCAAAAUGUGUUGAAAUGAUUAAAAUGUGUUGAAUCAUGGCCAUGUUCAAAAUGUGCUUGGUCAAGCAGUCUAAACAUAUGGCUGAAUAUGCACUACUCCUCGAACUGGAAUGAAAUGGUCAUGGCCAUGAUUCAUUCAGUCUAAGUAGCAGUUCAACAUUACUAUUUCUUAAUAAUGAAUACUCUCCUUCUGUUAACAUUGUUUUUGUAUCUUUCGUGAAACGCAUGUUCCUGGCUUUAGCACUAUUCUUAGAACAAUGAUUUAGCUAAUUGAUGAUGAUGAUUUCCAGUUGAUUGUAAGGACCGCACAUUUCUGAUUCUGGAAAAAGUGAACACUAAUGCUUAUGUGCAUUAUGAUCUCAACUUAUUUAUUUAUUUAUUGUCUGAUUAUUUUAGAGGCUUUAUGGACACUAAUUUAUGUAACUCACUAAUAAUGCAAUGAACAAAUCUGUAGAUCACUUAACUGAACGCCAAAGAAGUGUUUUCUUUUGUUGUUUCUCAUGACACAUAACUUCUUGGUUGUCUGCAGAUGCAGGAUAUAGAAUCAAACUCAUUUCUUUAUUGCAGACCUUUUUGGGCGUUUCUCGGAAAAUUAUACGACUCUUCAUUAGGGUCAUGAUGAAUGCCUGCUUUUCAAGUUUUCAUGUGGAUCUGCUACUGAUCAGGGUCUGGUGAAAGGCAAGGACAAAUGGCUUGUUUUGUCCAGUCCAUGGUGGGCAAGGUCUUUGUCUCUGGGUUGCGAGAAUAUCUUUGACCGUCCAUAAUCUCUGGUCAGCUGCAUACAUCAUAUUCUUAUAAUAUCAUAUGUGAUUUCCAGUGGUGUUGUGUAAAAAGACUGCUUGUUAUAGCUUCAGUUUGGCCUGGUUCAGUUUGGUUGCUCAUGUUCAUGUGUGUCUUCACCUCAGAAAAAUUAGAAGGAAAUCAAAUUAUCUUUUGGCCCGCUUCUCAUUUUUAUUUAUAUUACAAUUGUUAUUACUUGUGAUAAUAAUAGUUUUAGUUUAUAAAAAUUAUCAAUAUUGGUAAGUGACACUAAAUUAAUGUCUCUCUUUGCUUUGCUACCUCUCUUAGAAUUUAGGAGGAACUAGAUAAUAUUUGUCUGAUUGAUUUUAUUUAUUAGUAAUGAUUUAUGGGAACAAAACACUGAUAAUGUUCUUCCUUUUUUCGAGUGCCUUCUUUGCUUUUGCUUUUUUAUCAAAUUUUGUUCCCUUUUUUGAGUCAUGUCCCGUGUGGAUAUUUUGUGACCAUGAUUGUGUCUAUUGAUCUUCAUGCACAUCCUUAUUUGGUAUGCUAAUGCUCUACUUACAAGUGAACAAGAAUCUCAGUGUGUAGUGUGUAAACUCUCGACCACCUCUAUAUCUAUCUGUAGUGCUAUAUUCUUUUGGGUGGAACUUAUAGCAUGUUGGUUCCAAAUGGAUAGUGAGUGUCUCACCCCGUGCCCUCUUACUCAAACUAGCUUGUAGAAUUAUUUCAUAUUUUAGGACAAGGAUUAAUGGCUACUUUUUAUAGAUAAAUUUGAUGCUUAUUUGGUGUUCACUUUUGUUGAUACAGAAGGCAAAUUGUACUUCUUAAAGUUAUGGUGGUUUCUACAUUUUGAUUUAGAGCCCCGGUCUGCGGGGUGGGGACGCAUGGGUCCUUGGUCCGGCGCUGUCGACAUGAUGUUGUGCGCGGGUCUUGCUUUCUUGCUAGAUAAGUAUUUAGGAAAAAUCUAAAAUACUCCUUCAAGGUUUAUACAUCAAUUGCAAAGGGUUUUAGGAAUGCGUCACUAUAUUGUUUUGGAUUUAUACAUGAACCGCAGAGAGUUUUAUAAAUGUAUCAUUAUAUUGUUUUAGGUUUAUAUAUGAACUGCAAAAAACUUUAGGCAUGUGAAAAUCAGAGCUCAUGAGGCAUGUGAUAUUCUUUUUCUGUGGUGGCGUGUAUAUAUUAUGUGAUUUUACUUCCUGUUUGGUUUCUUGAUAAUCCCUAAGUGCAAGGAAUCAUCGUAGCAAUUUCUAAAGAUGGAAGUGAUAAGUAUUGAGUGUCGAACCCACAAGGAGCUAAAG